AGAAAUGACCCAUUUGCAAUGUUGCUGUAUCCCCUGGAGAGUGCUGGGCUUCUAAUGAGAUCCAGGACAGAGUGGCUUAAAGGAUUAGGAGCUGAAGUCACCGGGAGUCUGGGGAAGGAAGAAGCCAGCACUGGAUCAAGACAGGUCCUGGGCUGUGGGGAUGGAAGAGAAGCAGCCAUGGAUGGCUGCAGCUUAAAGCACGAGGUUUCCCUAGGUCUGGGCAGGCAGAAAAGUCCCACCAGCAGGAGCAGAGGGAGCGGGCAGUGCCGUGGAGUGCCCCGAGCCGUGAGGGCUGGCGAGGCUCAUCUGUUCAGUCACUCCUCAGAAAUGAUCAGCAUCUUCCUCAGGCUGCUGCUGUGAGCCAGCACCGUGCCUCAUUCAACUCCUCAGGAUCAAUACCUGGAGAGAAGUCAGCUAUUGACCUGUUCUUUGGGCAAAACUGCACGGGAAUUACCAAUCCAUGCACGCUGCAGGAACUCGGGAGAGGUCUUCUCAAUGAACCAACCUUAAGAUACAGCUGGAAUUAUCAAUAGCCUUUCAUCCUUCAAAGCAAAGUUUGUGCUAGGAGGAAAGAAAUGAGAUGAUUUCCACGGUGUCAUCUUGCCUUUUCAGUGGGAGACUGCCAGCUCUUCCACAAAACAAGCAGAGCCCAGCAACACUUGAGUUGCUCUCCCUCUACAAUCCAAAGAAAGCUGCCACUGUAAAACUUCAACAGCUUUGGAGUUACAAGGCUUGCCUUGUUCAACCACAGGUCUCAACAUCCUUAACAGAUCUGCUUCUCCCAUCCACUCCAAACACUCCUCAUUCCUCUGAUGCGCUCCCCUCCUUCCCAAUCUUUUGCUCUGGACUAAGGAGGUGGAGGAAGAGGUUUUACACUGGUACAAACACAUCCCUGGAGACUCCUCCACUGCUCCCAGUGGCCAGGAGUGACUUGGAUGGAGGAGAAAACGUGAGCCUGGCUCUUCCUGGCACCUGGGACUGUUCUGGCCUUUGGAAGGAGCAGUGUGAGGAGCUGCUGACUUGCAGAGGAAACUCUGGAAGAACCAGUGGCCAGGAGAAGAAGACUCGGGCAGCUUUGCUUUGCAUUCCCAUUCCCAGCCUCUGGAGAGUGCAGUCAUUACAGGUGAGAUGGAGAAGCUGCACAGACAAAUCCCUGGAACCCAAGGAAUUAAUCAGAAGGACUGGUGUGAAAGCUAAACUUGGUCAAAAGCCUGCCUGGCUUUUUGCAAAACCACGGCUGUUAAUGGAAAACAACGAAACGAUCCCAGUUUAUCCCAUGAAAGGGAAGUUUCAUCAGCACCUUCUGAGGGGAAGAGAACAGCCAUAA
rnacentral:lncRNA from 1 species